rnacentral:rRNA from 1 species
GUAGGGAAUCUUGCGCAAUGGGCGAAAGCCUGACGCAGCCAUGCCGCGUGAAUGAUGAAGGUCUUAGGAUUGUAAAAUUCUUUCACCGGGGACGAUAAUGACGGUACCCGGAGAAGAAGCCCCGGCUAACUUCGUGCCAGCAGCCGCGGUAAUACGAAGGGGGCUAGCGUUGCUCGGAAUUACUGGGCGUAAAGGGAGCGUAGGCGGAUAGUUUAGUCAGAGGUGAAAGCCCAGGGCUCAACCUUGGAAUUGCCUUUGAUACUGGCUAUCUUGAGUAUGGAAGAGGUAUGUGGAACUCCGAGUGUAGAGGUGAAAUUCGUAGAUAUUCGGAAGAACACCAGUGGCGAAGGCGACUCACUGGCCCGUUACUGACGCUGAGGCGCGAAAGCGUGGGGAGCAAACAGGAUUAGAUACCCGUGUAGUCC